AGACAGCACAGGUGAGAUGGCACAGAGAUGCCACAGGUGAGAUGGCACAGAGACCCCACAGGCCAACACCACAGGUGAGAUGGCACAGAGACCCCACAGGUGAGAUGGCACAGAGAUGCCACAGGCCAACACCACAGGUGAGAUGGCACAGAGACAGCACAGGUGAGAUGGCACAGAGACAGCACAGGUGAGAUGGCACAGAGACGGCACAGGUGAGAUGGCACAGAGACAGCACAGGUGAGAUGGCACAGAGAUGCCACAGGUGAGAUGGCACAGAGACACCACAGGCCAACACCACAGGUGAGAUGGCACAGAGACAGCACAGGUGAGAUGGCACAGAGACAGCACAGGUGAGGUGACAGACACACCACAGGCCAACACCACAGGUGAGAUGGCACAGAGACAGCACAGGUGAGAUGGCACAGAGACAGCACAGGUGAGAUGGCACAGAGACAGCACAGGUGAGAUGGCACAGAGACAGCACAGGUGAGGUGGCACAGACACACCACAGGCCAACACCACAGGUGAGAUGGCACAGAGACAGCACAGGUGAGGUGGCACAGAGACAGCACAGGUGAGGUGGCACAGAGACAGCACAGGUGAGAUGGCACAGAGACAGCACAGGUGAGGUGGCACUGGUGAGAUGGCACAGAGACACCACAGGUGAGAUGGCACAGAGACAGCACAGGUGAGGUGGCACAGAGAUGCUACAGGUGAGAUGGCACAGAGACGCCACAGGCCAACAGCACAGGUGAGGUGGCACAGAGACAGCACAGGUGAGGUGGCACAGAGACAGCACAGGUGAGGUUGCACAGGUGAGAUUUCACAGAGACUGCACAGGUGAGGUGGCACAGAGACCGCACAGGUGAGGUUGCACAGGUGAGAUGGCACAGAGACAGCACAGGUGAGGUGGCACAGAGACCGCACAGGUGAGAUGGCACAGAGACAGCACAGGUGAGGUUGCACAGGUGAGAUGGCACAGAGACACCACAGGUGAGGUGGCAGAGAGACAGCACAGGUGAGGUGGCACAGAGACGCCACAGGUGAGGUGGCACAGAGACGCCACAGGUGAGGUGGCACAGAGACGCCACAGGUGAGGUGGCAGAGAGACAGCACAGGUGAGAUGGCACAGAAACAGCACAGGUGAGGUUGCACAGGUGAGAUGGCACAGAGACAGCACAGGUGAGAUGGCACAGAGACGCCACAGGUGAGGUGGCAGAGAGACAGCACAGGUGAGGUGUCAGAGAGACACCACAGGUGAGGGGGGGGGGGACAGAAGUGAAGUGGAAAGACAGGAUGAGAGAUUUAUAGAU